rnacentral:rRNA from 1 species
GAUGAACGCUGGCGGCGGGCCUAAUACAUGCAAGUCGAGCGAACAGACGAGGGGCUUGCUCCUCUGACGUUAGCGGCGGACGGGUGAGUAACACGUGGAUAACCUACCUAUAAGACUGGGAUAACUUCGGGAAACCGGAGCUAAUACCGGAUAAUAUAUUGAACCGCAUGGUUCAAUAGUGAAAGCCGGUUUUGCUGUCACUUAUAGAUGGAUCCGCGCCGCAUUAGCUAGUUGGUAAAGUAACGGCUUACCAAGGCAACGAUGCGUAGCCGACCUGAGAGGGUGAUCGGCCACACUGGAACUGAGACACGGUCCAGACUCCUACGGGAGGCAGCAGUAGGGAAUCUUCCGCAAUGGGCGAAAGCCUGACGGAGCAACGCCGCGUGAGUGAUGAAGGUCUUCGGAUCGUAAAACUCUGUUAUUAGGGAAGAACAAAUGUGUAAGUAACUAUGCACGUCUUGACGGUACCUAAUCAGAAAGCCACGGCUAACUACGUG